AGUCAUUGAAGAAGAAGGUUGUGGAUGCUGCAUUGAUCAAAGCCAUUGAAGUAGUGCCGGAUUUGAAGGCUCAUUUGGAGGCUUAUUUGGGUCCA